rnacentral:rRNA from 1 species
GUGACUGCGUACCUUUUGUAUAAUGGGUCAGCGACUUAUAUUCUGUAGCAAGGUUAACCGAAUAGGGGAGCCGAAGGGAAACCGAGUCUUAACUGGGCGUUAAGUUGCAGGGUAUAGACCCGAAACCCGGUGAUCUAGCCAUGGGCAGGUUGAAGGUUGGGUAACACUAACUGGAGGACCGAACCGACUAAUGUUGAAAAAUUAGCGGAUGACUUGUGGCUGGGGGUGAAAGGCCAAUCAAACCGGGAGAUAGCUGGUUCUCCCCGAAAGCUAUUUAGGUAGCGCCUCGUGAAUUCAUCUCCGGGGGUAGAGCACUGUUUCGGCAAGGGGGUCAUCCCGACUUACCAACCCGAUGCAAACUGCGAAUACCGGAGAAUGUUAUCACGGGAGACACACGGCGGGUGCUAACGUCCGUCGUGAAGAGGGAAACAACCCAGACCGCCAGCUAAGGUCCCAAAGUCAUGGUUAAGUGGGAAACGAUGUGGGAAGGCCCAGACAGCCAGGAUGUUGGCUUAGAAGCAGCCAUCAUUUAAAGAAAGCGUAAUAGCUCACUGGUCGAGUCGGCCUGCGCGGAAGAUGUAACGGGGCUAAACCAUGCACCGAAGCUGCGGCAGCGACACUAUGUGUUGUUGGGUAGGGGAGCGUUCUGUAAGCCUGUGAAGGUGUGCUGUGAGGCAUGCUGGAGGUAUCAGAAGUGCGAAUGCUGACAUAAGUAACGAUAAAGCGGGUGAAAAGCCCGCUCGCCGGAAGACCAAGGGUUCCUGUCCAACGUUAAUCGGGGCAGGGUGAGUCGACCCCUAAGGCGAGGCCGAAAGGCGUAGUCGAUGGGAAACAGGUUAAUAUUCCUGUACUUGGUGUUACUGCGAAGGGGGGACGGAGAAGGCUAUGUUGGCCGGGCGACGGUUGUCCCGGUUUAAGCGUGUAGGCUGGUUUUCCAGGCAAAUCCGGAAAAUCAAGGCUGAGGCGUGAUGACGAGGCACUACGGUGCUGAAGCAACAAAUGCCCUGCUUCCAGGAAAAGCCUCUAAGCAUCAGGUAACAUCAAAUCGUACCCCAAACCGACACAGGUGGUCAGGUAGAGAAUACCAAGGCGCUUGAGAGAACUCGGGUGAAGGAACUAGGCAAAAUGGUGCCGUAACUUCGGGAGAAGGCACGCUGAUAUGUAGGUGAAG